AUUGAACGCUAGCGGCAGGCCUAACACAUGCAAGUCGAGCGAGCGGCGGACGGGUGAGUAAUGUAUGGGGACUGCCCGAUAGAGGGGGAUAACUACUGGAAACGGGAGCUCAUACAGCAUACUAUCGGAUAACACAGAUGGGAUUGGCUAGUAGGUGAGGUAAUGGCUCACCUAGGCGACGAUACCUAGCUGGUCUGAGAGGAUGAUCAGCCACACUGGGACUGAGACACGGCCCAGACUCCUACGGAGGGAGCAGUUGGGAAUAUUGCCCAAUCGGCGCAAGCCUGAUGCAGCCAUGCCGCGUGUAUGAAGAAGGCCCUAGGGUUGUAAAGUACUUUCAGUCGGGAGGCGUUACCGACAGAAGGAGCACCGGCUAACUCCGUGCCAGCAGCCGCGGUAAUU
rnacentral:rRNA from 1 species